rnacentral:misc_RNA from 1 species
UGCAAUUCCCUUCCUCAACAAAUACCCACAACGGAAUUACCAAGCGGAAGACCUUCUCUUAUAUUUAAUCUCGUUGUCUCUCUUUUUGAGCUUCUUCUCCCUCUCUCUGUAGUCGGUAGCUAAUAAAUGGCGGCGUCUCAAGGCAGUCUUCUCCUCCAAAAGCAGCUCAAAGAUCUCUGCAAGAAACCCGUUGAUGGAUUCUCUGCGGGUUUAGUCGAUGAGAACAAUGUAUUUGAAUGGAGUGUUUCAAUUAU